CGCCCCCGGAAGCGGAACCAGCGUCCCCUUCCUCACUGCCCUCCAGAUCCCGCCGCAGCCAUUGCUGCAGCCACGAUGCCGAAACGAAAGAAGCAGAGUCAGCAGCAGCCGCCGCCGCCACAGCAGCCCCCCGUGCCCGAUCGGGAAAAGACUGGAGACGAGGAAGACGAGAGUCCCAUCGACGAGGAGAAGAGAAAGAGCUCGUAUGCGCAGCCGCAGAAUGGCAGGGAAGGGGGCAGUAGAGCUAUUACAGAUUUCGAUGGUUGAGAUGACAAUUGGUGACCACUCUGUCACUGGGAAGGUGGAAGUGCAGACUUCUCUAAACUACUCCCCCAAGGAGAGGAGAGGAGAGGAGGAAAGAAGUGUCUGAUUGGCCAGCAGUUAAGGACCACCCAGCCUCCUGGGCCCUCCCCCCAUGGCCAAUGGAAAGCCUGGUAACCCCAAGUCAGGUGAGAAGGAAAGGGGCCCAGAUCCUUAUUUUAGGUCCUGGAGGAGGAAGCAAAGGAGCGAGUAAAGUCCAUCAAUGAUUUAAAAGAUGGGGGAUUCUCUAUCUAAAUGGAUGAAGAGAAGUUGUACAGUCAUGGGUUUGAAAACUCUAUAUUGUAAAACCAUUGCUUCUUCCCAAACUGAACUGUUGAGCUAGUGCAUUCCUAGUCAGAAUCCUUGUGAUGUUUUUGUGGAAGAAAACAUUCUACAUUUUUAUGAAAAGGACCUACAUGAGAGACUGCCAAGACAUUGUUAAAGUAGGAAGGCAUACAUGAAUAUAAAGACUCGUAGUAAAGCUACACUGAUUAUGACAGUCUGGAUUUUCACACAGUAAUAAACUCAUACAUCAUCAGUUCAGUAGCUCAAAGUGUCCAGUAAGAAGCCCACAGAUGCACAGACACUUCGUUUAUGUGAAAAUAGAACUGAAGAAGUAGUCUUUCCACUAAGUUGCUGGAUUAAUUAGACAUUCAUGAAAUUUGACCUCUUAUUCACACCAGAUGGAAAUGUCACUUUAACUGGUCUAUAGAUCCAAGUGUAAAAGAACUAUUUUUCUAGGAAGUAAAUGUAUUUUCAUGGUGUUAGUACUCUAAAAGUUCCUGAAGAAAUAUACAUAUGCUAUAAAGAGAAGAGUGAUUAACGUACUGUAUCAGAUGUUACCAAUUUCUGUCAAACAGAUGACACCAUUAAAAAAUUAACAGGAAGCCAGGGAUUACACACACUUGUAAUCCCAGCACUCUGGACACUGAAGCAGGAGGAUUAUAAGUUUCACUCAAGUCUGGAGAACUUAGGAAUCACUAAGUUAGUGAGACCUUGUCUCAGAAUAAAAAAUAGACAGGGGCCGGGGAUUUAACUCAGUGGCACUGUGCGUGCCUGCCUCGAAGGCCAAGGUCAUGAGAUCAAGUCCUGGUGCCAAAAAGAAAAUAGAUGGUCUGAGGAUGUAACUUGGUGUAAGACCCUGGGUUCAAUCUCCCGUUCUGAGGGAGAAAAAGUAAGAAAUAUAACCAAGACCCAUAUCUAAAAUAUGUAAACAAGUCCUCCAGACAACCCAUUAGAACAAUUGGCAAAAGACUAGAACAACUUACAAAAGAAGUAUCUAAAUGGGCUGAAAACACUUCAACAAGUACUCAACAUUAAUUAUCAAAUAAGUGCAAGAUAAAAACAUUACUUUAAAAUUGGAACUCCUGUGCCCUGUUGAUGGGAUUAUUACAUGAGAUAAUCACUAUGGUAAAUAGUCCAGAGUUUCCUCAAAAAAUUAAGAGCCAAGUGUGGCAGUGCACACCUAUAAUCCCAGCACUUAGGAGGCUGAGGCAGGAGUACUGAGGUGAGUUUGAGGCUAGCCUGCACUACAAAGCAAGACCCUAUCUCAAAAAACCAAAAAUUAAAAUUAAAACUAGAACCACCAUUUGACCCAGCUGUCUGACUUACAGGUAUAUAUUCAGAAGAAUUGAAAGCAUGGUCUUGAAGACAUUUUUUUUGUAGGGUACUGAGGGUAGAACCCAGGGCCUUCACACUGAGCUAUAUCCUCAGGCCUUUGUAUUUUUUUUUAUUUUGAGACCAGGUCUUAAAGUCGCCUAGGCUGGGCUCAAACUUGGACCCCUCCAGCCUCAGCCUUUCAGAGUGCUGGAAGUACAGGUGUGUGCCAGCCACCGUGCCCAGCUUGAAGAGAGAUUUGUAUGCUCAUGUUCUUAGGCGCACUGUCCUCAAUACCCCAAAAGUAGGAGCAACCCAGAUAUCCAUUGACAGGAUAAAUAAACGAAAUAUGCACAUUCAGUGAAAUCUUGUCCAGCCUAACAAAGGAAGGAAGUGCUGUCACAUACUCAAACAGGGAUGGACCUUGAGGACGGUAUACGAAGUGAAACAAACUGGUCCAUAAAAGACAAAUGCCGUAAAGUGCCUAGAGUGAAACUCAGAAGGCUGGGUGGAAGGGUGUGGAGGAAAGGAGUCGUGCAGUGGAUAGAGUUUCAGUUUUGUAACUUCUAAGGAUCUGUUUCACAACAUAUCAAUAUACUUAAAACUCCUGAACUGUAAACUUAAGAAGAGUUAGGAUUGGCCAGUGACAGUGGUGUACACCUAUGAGCCCAGCGCCAGAGGCUGAGGCAGGAGGACUGCCACAAGUUCAGUGCCAACCCAAACUGCAUAGUGAGGCCUUGUCCUGAAAAGGUCAAGAUGGUAAAUUUUUAUGUUCUAUUAUUUUUAUUACAAUAAAAAACUUACCACUUCUUACACAAGAGAAUGGCAGAAUGAAAAAGACUGACAGCCACUCUGGUUUUUUGAGACAGGGUUUCACUAUGUAGUUCAGGCUGGCCUUGAACUCUUGGUGGUUCUCCUGCCUCAGCCUCCCAAGUGCUGGGAUUAUAGGUAUGCACCACCACACCUGAGUUUGACAACCACUUUGAAACAAAGUUUGAUGUUACCUAUUAAACUUGAAUGAACAUACACACACUCUGACCCAGCAAUUCCUUUACUUCGUAUAUACUGAAAUAUAUGCACAUGUAUAACAUAGAAAUUGAAACAUUCAUAGCAUUUCCUGUGGCCCUAAACUGGAAGCUGUCCAUGUGCCGUGGGAUGAUGUUGAGUGAAAGGAGCCAGACACAAAGAAACGGACUGAUUCCAUUUACACAAAGUUCAAAACAGGCAAAGACGAACCUGUGAUGUUAGUCAGGAUGUUGGUUACCUUUGGAGCAGGGAGUUGAGGGGCAUGGGAGUGAGUCUUAAAUUGUUACAAAGGCUCUAGCUCUUCACCUGGCUGUGUUUGUUUUGUAAUAAUUGAUCUGUACACUUAAAAUAGGCACUGUACAUCUUUAUGUGCUGCACUGUAAUUAAAAAGGAGGAGAGCCCGGUGUAGUGCACAUCUGUGAGCCCAGCAGUCUUAAGAGAUUGAGACAGGAGGAUCUCAGGUUCAAGCCCAGCCUGGGGAGCUUAGCAAGACCCUGUCUCAAAAAAUAAUAAGGGAAGGACCGGAGAUUUAGCUCAGUGGUUUCGCUGCCUGCUGUGCAAGCGCAAGGACCUGAGUUCAAUCCCCGGUACCAAAGAAAAUAAUAAUAAUAAUAAUAGUAAGGGAGGGAAUGCAGCCAGUGCAGAGGCUGAGAUCAAGGCUUGUGUGUGGGGAUGGAGCUGCCUGUCUUCACCUUUCUCUGUCUCUCCAGCCCUCCACAGAGGCCCUCCAGGAUCCAGGGGACCAACGAUCCCACCACUGCUGAGCCUUCCCCCCCCUCCCAGGGGAAGAGGCCCAUUUCGGGGAGGUCUCGGCCCCAGGACUAGUCCUUAUGGUCGUGGUUGGUGGGGGGUCAGUGCAGAACCUCCCUUCCCAGGGCCAGGCCACAGGGGUCCCUUCUGGGAAAGCUUUCACAAAGAGCAGAGAAACCCGAGAAGGCUCAAAAGCUGGUCUCUUGUCAAGAACACCUGCCCGCCUAAGGACGGCCCCCAGGCCAUGGAAGGUGAGGUCCACUUUGUUUGCUGUGUAGCCUUCCUGCCGCCUGCCUCCCCACCCCAAGCUGGGGAUCAAUCCUGGCCCUUGGCAUACCGCUUAGGCUACACCCUGCAACCCCUGGGCUGUCUUGAGGGCCCCGGUUCCAUCCUUAGCACCACUGCCCCUCCCCACAAAAUGAAACUGGAAAUGGUAGGGGCUA